GCCGGGUGCGGUGGCGCGCGCCUGUAAUCCAAGCUACCGGGAGGCUGAGGCUGGCGGAUCGUUUGAGCUCAGGAGCUCUGAGCUGCAGCGGACUAUGCCGAUCGGGUGUCCGCACUAAGUUCGGUAUCGAUAUGGUGCUCCUGGGGGAGCUCGGGACCACCAGGUCGCCUAAGGAGGGGUGCACCGGCCCAGGUCGGGAACGGAGCAGGUCAAAGCCCCCGUGCCGCUCAGUAGUGGGAUCGCGCCUGUGAAUAGACGCUGUAGUGCAGCCUGAGUAAUACAGCGGGACCCAGUCUUU
ensembl:misc_RNA Metazoa_SRP Metazoan signal recognition particle RNA